UACGGGGGGGGGCAAGCGUUGUUCGGAAUUACUGGGCGUAAAGGGCGCGUAGGCGGUUCGCUAAGUUGAAUGUGAAAACUCUGGGCUUAACCCAGAGCCUGCAUUCAAUACUGGCGGGCUAGAGUUCUGGAGGGGGAUAGCGGAAUUCCUGGUGUAGCGGUGAAAUGCGUAGAUAUCAGGAGGAACACCGGUGGCGAAAGCACUCUGCUGGGCCGACACUGACACUGAGAGACGAAAGCUAGGGGAGCGAAUGGG
rnacentral:rRNA from 1 species